rnacentral:misc_RNA from 1 species
UGGUUCUGGCAUNGAUGAAGAACGCAGCGAAAUGCGAUAAGUAAUGUGAAUUGCAGAAUUCAGUGAAUCAUCGAAUCUUUGAACGCACAUUGCGCUCCCUGGUAUUCCGGGGAGCAUGCCUGUUCGAGCGUCAUUUAUACCAAUCUAGCGCAGCUAGGUGUUGGGCUACGCCGGGUGGCGGGCCUUGAAGCUAGUGGCGGUGCUCUCAGGCUCUACGCGUAGUAAUCCUCUCGCGAUGGAGCACUGAGCGGUGCUAGCCAGCAACCUCCCAUAUUUUCUAGGUUGACCUCGGAUCAGGUAGGGAUACCCGCUGA